rnacentral:rRNA from 1 species
CCUUUAUAGCGACUGCGGAGGACAUUA